GACGAACGCUGGCGGCGUGCUUAACACAUGCAAGUCGAGCGGUAAGGCCCUUUCGGGGGUACACGAGCGGCGAACGGGUGAGUAACACGUGGGUGACCUGCCCUCAGCUCUGGGAUAAGCCUGGGAAACCGGGUCUAAUACUGGAUAUGACUCCAUGACGCAUGUUGUGGGGUGGAAAGCCUUGUGCGGCUGAGGAUGGGCCCGCGGCCUAUCAGCUUGUUGGUGGGGUGANGGCCUACCAAGGCGACGACGGGUAGCCGGCCUGAGAGGGCGACCGGCCACACUGGGACUGAGACACGGCCCAGACUCCUACGGGAGGCAGCAGUGGGGAAUCUUGCGCAAUGGGCGAAGGCCUGACGCAGCGACGCCGCGUGAGGGAUGACGGCCUGGU
rnacentral:rRNA from 1 species